CACUAUCUUCUGCUGAGAAGGAAUUCCAGGAACACUUUUGCUUUGAUCCUGAUACUGCAAAAAUGAUCUUCAGAACUGGGAAUUUAAUCAUUAUGAGUAGUUCCAGAUUUGUAGCACUGGAAAAGGAAGACUUCAGCUUUCUGGAAGGUCUUCUGACAUCACCAGCUAGAAUAAGAGUAAAAUAAAAGUAUGAA